UACGAAGGGGGCUAGCGUUGUUCGGAAUUACUGGGCGUAAAGCGUGCGCAGGCGGCUUCUCAAGUCAGGGGUGAAAGCCCAGAGCUUAACUCUGGAAUUGCCUUUGAGACUGAGAGGCCUGAGUACGGGAGAGGUGAGUGGAAUUCCCAGUGUAGAGGUGAAAUUCGUAGAUAUUGGGAAGAACACCGGUGGCGAAGGCGGCUCACUGGCCCGUAACUGACGCUCAUGCACGACAGCGUGGGGAUCAAACAGG
rnacentral:rRNA from 1 species